GGGCAGGCGACCCAGGAAAGGGUUUGGAGUGAGGCUGUGAGCACUUACUUGAUAUUUUACAAGUUUGGAUUUGGUGUUUUUUUCCUUGUCCGUUUUUUCCUGUUGACUAACGGCUCCUCUUUUCCUUGUUUUUGUUUUUUUUUUUGUUCUUUUUUUCCAUGUCACUAAAGGCCCUCGGGACCAAGGAUCACGUCAUGACUCCGAACAGGAUAAUUCAGACAACAACACCAUCUUUGUGCAAGGCCUGGGUGAGAAUGUUACAAUUGAGUCUGUGGCUGAUUACUUCAAGCAGAUUGGUAUUAUUAAGACAAACAAGAAAACGGGACAGCCCAUGAUUAAUUUGUACACAGACAGGGAAACUGGCAAGCUGAAGGGAGAGGCAACGGUCUCUUUUGAUGACCCACCUUCCGCUAAAGCAGCUAUUGACUGGUUUGAUGGUAAAGAAUUUUCCGGAAAUCCUAUCAAGGUCUCAUUUGCUACUCGCCGGGCAGACUUUAAUCGGGGUGGUGGCAAUGGUC
rnacentral:sRNA from 1 species